UACGUAGGGGGCGAGCGUUGUCCGGAUUUAUUGGGCGUAAAGAGCGUGUAGGCGGUUCGGUAAGUCUGUCGUGAAAUCCUGAGGCUCAACCUCGGGCGUGCGAUGGAUACUGCCGGGCUAGAGGGUGGUAGAGGCGAGUGGAAUUCCCGGUGUAGCAGUGAAAUGCGUAGAUAUCGGGAGGAACAUCUGUGGCGAAGGCGACUACCUGGACCAGCACUGACACUGAGGCACGAAAGCGUGGGGAGCAAACAGG
rnacentral:rRNA from 1 species